UACGGAGGGAGCUAGCGUUGUUCGGAAUUACUGGGCGUAAAGCGCACGUAGGCGGAUUUGCCAGUCAGGGGUGAAAUCCCGGGGCUCAACCUCGGAACUGCCUUUGAUACAGCAAGUCUUGAGUUCGAGAGAGGUGGGUGGAAUUCCUAGUGUAGAGGUGAAAUUCGUAGAUAUUAGGAAGAACACCGGUGGCGAAGGCGGCCCACUGGCUCGACACUGACGCUGAGGUGCGAAAGCGUGGGGAGCAAACAGG
rnacentral:rRNA from 1 species